GGGGUACCCACCGAGCUCAGGCACGCGGCAGCUGGUUAAGGACCAAACAAAGUAGGAGCACGCUGGUGAUGGUCAAGACAAAGUACCAACUACAUAAGCAUUCUUAGAUGUUGUGUGUAUCGAGAGUCUGUCGUUUAAGGUCACAUCCUGUUCCUCACCUGCCAUGGAUUUUGAGCUGGAUCUACCUGUGUGACCCCGAUGUCAUCUGUUUCCUCCACCUUCGGCCAAGGAUUUCCAUCAUCAGCGUCUCUACACUCCCAGUGGCCAUUUCUCCUGAUUCUUCCACAAAUACAUGCCCAAGAAGAGAAGAUCUGGUGUACAUGUGUUUGAUUUAACUGGUUUCUGCCAGACUGCCCUCUAGAAGACUUGCAUUCCCUUGGCUGUCAUUAGGGCA
rnacentral:lncRNA from 1 species